CAGCAUUAAAUUGAGACAUAAUUAGGCCUCCGAAUUUUAAUAAUUGUCCUAGCUAAUUGGGCAGACAAGUACGCUCUGCAGCGUGGCGUGAUUAGAUAAUUAGUGUUUCCAAAUGACAAAAUUGGGCUCUUGAUUGCGGAUUCCAGAUGCGGAGCGGGGGGGGGGGGAGGAGCAGGCGGCUCCCUGCGCGGGCAGAGCCGAGCCGGUCCCGCCGCGGUGCCCGGGCGGGGAGCGCGGCCCGGGGACCGGAGCGGGCCCGCCGGCGCAGUGCCGUGCCGUGCCGUGCCGUGCCGUGCCGUGCCGGCUCCGGGCGGGCAGGCGCAGCUCCCGGACGCCCGAUGCCCCCCGGCCCCGCCGCCGCGGCGUGAGGCGAUCGACUUCGCGGCACUAACUGAUCUUUUCAGCCCAAGGACCGCGCGGCACAAGUGACGGCCAUCAAAAGGACACCGGGGCCCGGGCCGGCGGGACGGAUCCCGCCUCGCCGCGCACCGGGGCGGCGGGGGCGCGCGCGGAGACUCCCCCCGCCGCGGCCGCCAGGGGGCGCCGCUCCCGCGCGGCGGCGGCGGCAGCAGCAGCUCCGCUCCCCGGCGGUGCCCGCGCCCGCUCCGCGUCCCCCGGCAGGGCCGGCCGCGGCACCGUCAGGGUGCCGGAGAUGUACUGGAGCAGAAGCUAGAAGGCGCAUCUUGCAACCAACCCCAGCCUGGAGAAGCUGUGGCAAAGUCCUCCCCUAUUCCGAUAACAAGUUCCUGCGGCCUAACGUGCGCACUCCUCACCCAAGCCCUUGCUAGGAGCGCUCGACUUUGAAUUUCCGUAAGUGCAAGAGCGAGGACGCGGUGCUAGGUAGUGGAUUGCCGUGCGCUAUAUUUAGAAAGCAGCUGGAAGAGAAAAUGUCCUCAGGACUGUUUUGUUGUAAAUGUCCCUCCAGUCCCAGCACUGUAAACGUAAACGCUCGUUCUUCAGACGUGCCAGCGCUUCGCACUACCCGGGAGCGCUGGGUGUCAUGCCUUGGCGUUAGUGCAGACGGGGGCCCGGCUCUUCCUUGGGCUGCCUGGGGACUCCUGAGGCAUCCAGCUCGGCCUGCUCAGUGACUGUAGCAAGGAAGAGCUCCAGCCCCUCAAGCUGGGUGAGUGCUGCUGGCGGGCAUGCCGCAGCAGGAUGAAACCAACCCCGCUUCAGAUGAACAGCCCCCCAGCUGCUUGCGCCGGCCUGAGGCUUCUAAUGUGAGGAAAAACACGCGGUGACAAGUGUGGAAAAGAGCAAGCACUAAAUUACUGUCAGAAAAAUAAACGGCGGAGCGCGGUGCUGCGCGGUGAUUUACGGGGGCAAUUAGCCACCGCCCCACGGAGCCGCUGAGGACGGCGGGGCCGCCGCAGCAUCCCCCGGGGCUGGCCCGGCUCCGGCUCCCGCCCCAGGCCCGCAGCCAGCCCGGGCACCCGGAGCUCGCCCCCAUCCCGCGGCUCUUCUUUUGCCUGCCCCCAAAACGGGGAUGCGGGCGGAAGAGGGGAGCUACGCCGAAAGCCAGAGCCUGUGGUUGCGGGCAAGGUGCGAGCGUCGCGGGUCGGCUUGUUCGUCGUGGCGAGCGGCUGGUGCCCAGGUGUGCGGGGUGAUUAAAAAGGCAAGGAAGUAAAGUUAAAUGAAAAAUACUCUCGGAGAAGGGAAGCUGGAAAGCGGGGGUGGAAAAGCUGUUGGGGCUGGGUGAGAGGGUGGAGGUGGCCCUGCAACUGCCGCACGUCUUCUGGAGGUGCUGUGACAGCCCUGCCGUCUUGGAGAAGGGCCAGCCCUGUCCCUAACUGGGAGGGGACAUUAAGCAAAUGUUAAUGCUGUUGUUUCACCAGGGUGGAGUCCGGGAGAGGUGUUCUAGUUUGAAGCUAGCAGCAAAGGCAGUAUAGACAGUACAAGCUCCAGUUCAGCCUGGCACCGUGACAGCGAGCCCCCUGCCAGCACGUCGUGGGGCUUCCCAGGGGGCAGCUGCAAGCACCAUCAAGUCCCUGCUCUAGCAUGGUCUUUGACCUGGACCAUGUGCCUGCGAAGGGCACCUGGGCCUGAGAGCCGCCAGACUCUGAUUUCUGUCUUUAGGGAUGGCAGUGAUGCCGCUUUGCCUGAACUCGUGUUACCGGAUCCACUUCAAGCGUGUAGUGGUUUUGUAACUCUGUGCCACCCUGCCUGCCAUCCUUGACCAGUGAUCCUUCCUUAGUUGGUGCCUGUACAUCUAUUUUCAUUUUCUGAGGCUGUAUUGGUCACCUAGAGCUUGUGUCUGUCCCCUGAGCAGGGCCUGGCUCCUGCAGGAGGCAGCAGUAUCUGACUUUGGAUGCAUGUUCCCAUUAGGCCUGCCAGCCUGGCGUCUGGCUCCUCCAAAUAGUUGGCACUUGGAUCAUGGGAGACAGCCUGUCCGAGCUCACUGCAACAGCUGGUGCCAGCCAGCUCUUUGAGGACUGGUGCCAGCAGCAGGAGGAGCGCGCCAGGGCCUGCUCAUCAAACAGACCGGCAGCCAUCCCGUGGCUGCCACCGAGGGACAAAGGGAAAAGCAGCGGAGCAAGUCCCUCUCAACAUGGCACCUUGUGGGAAAGGCAGGUGUGUGCCUUUCGAAAGAGGAUGCGAGCUGGAGGAUGAAGACCUGCUGCAAGUCCCGGUGACCUCAGCAAGUGGCCUUCCCUCCCUGCUCCCAUUUCUCAGCUGGUGGGAAGCAUGCGAUACUCACCUGCCUCUGGGAAGCACUCGAGACUUCCAAAUGGAAGACGGAUCACAGAGGCGAAGCAGCAGUGUUUACUUUGGGGCCUGCCCUUGGCUGCUUCCUUGCUUUCUAGAAGUGGUUCUCGCGGGGACGUGGGUACGUGCGUGUGCACACAAGGUGGUCCUCGUGCUCCCCUUCCCUCGCAAGGCAAAGCCCUGCUUCUUCUGCAGGUUGCUAGGCUGCCUCCUAUUAAGUGAUGUGACCAGCAUCUCUCUCAUGUAAUUCUCUUCCUCCCACUGGAAAACCUGUUUGUUUAUGUCCUUUAAAUAAAUAUUUAAUAUCUUUCA